rnacentral:rRNA from 1 species
CUACGGGAUGCUCCAGUAAGGAAUAUUGCGCAAUGGAGGCAACUCUGACGCAGCCAUGCCGCGUGCAGGAAGAAGGCCUUAUGGGUCGUAAACUGCUUUUAUUUAGGAAUAAACCCCCGAACGUGUUCGGGGCUGAAGGUACUAAACGAAUAAGCACCGGCUAACUCCGGUGCCAGCAGCCGCGGUAAUACGGAGGGUGCAAGCGUUAUCCGGAUUUAUUGGGUUUAAAGGGUGCGCAGGCGGGCUAUUAAGUCAGUGGUGAAAUCCCGGGGCUCAACUCCGGAACUGCCAUUGAUACUGAUAGUCUUGAGUUUGGUUGAAGUGGGCGGAAUGUAGCAUGUAGCGGUGAAAUGCAUAGAUAUGCUACAGAACACCAAUCGCGAAGGCAGCUCACUAAGCCAAAACUGACGCUCAUGCACGAAAGCGUGGGGAUCAAACAGGAUUAGAUACCCGGGUAGUC